GAUGAAGAACGUAGCGAAACGCGAUAGGUAAUGUGAAUUGCAGAAUUCCGUGAAUCAUCGAAUCUUUGAACGCACAUUGCGCCCCUUGGUAUUCCAUGGGGCAUGCCUGUUCGAGCGUCAUUUGUACCUUCAAGCUCUGCUUGGUGUUGGGUGUUUGUCUCGCCUCUGCGUGUAGACUCGCCUCAAAAUAAUUGGCAGCCGGCGUAUUGAUUUCGGAGCGCAGUACAUCUCGCGCUUUGCACUCAUAACGACGACGUCCAAAAGUACAUUUUUACACUCUUGACCUCGGAUCAGGUAGGGAUACCCGCUGAACUUAAGCAUAUCAAUAAGCGGAGGA
rnacentral:misc_RNA from 1 species